GCAGCAGAUGUUAUGUGAAGAUGAUUCAACAUAGCUUUGUGUUUGCACUCCAGGAAUGAACGGUGUUUGUAUCUUGCUUGUUAUUAUAAAACAACAUUUGUUCAAAUUUGCUGGCAAUGAAAAAUAAACAACAUUGGAGUGCAGAGCAUGUUGAUUUCCUUAUCUUCAGAAAGGACCAAUAUAUAUUUGAAGGUUGGGAAGGACCCAGGUUCAAUCUCUGGCACCUCCAGGUAGGACUGGGAAGGACUCCUGCCUGAAACCCCGGAGGGUCACUGCCAGUCAGUGUUAACAAUGCUGCUCUAGGUGGAUUAAUGGUCUGACUCAGUAUAAGGCAACUUUCUGUGUUUGUACGUGGUUAUCACAAUGCAGUUUGUCUGGCUCAUGUGCACAGAGUUCCAGACAGUGUUUCUUAAAUCCACUGUUUGCAGGAACUCUUACUGUUGUGAUACUUUUGUGGGCAAGCUGAGAGUUUGUUUGAACCCUGGGUGUGAACCUGGAGGUUGAGAGGGAGGGUGUGUCAGAAGGAUAAUGAAGUGUUUUUGUAUAUAUAUAACUUUGUGUUAAGGUAACUGUUACAUAUAAAACUCUGUAUUUUAUAUUUAACUGUAUAUUUUUGUAAUAUUUGUUUACCUUGUCUGUUGUUGCUUCUUUUUUCUUUUCUUUUUGUACGUAGUUGCCAAAUUGUGAAGCAACAGUAGAGGGCACUGUGGCAGGAGAUGGCAAGCAUCCACACAAAUACUUAUAAAUUUUAAAAUGUAGAUCAGAACACAUUUUCUCAUUUGUGACAUGCAGAGUCUUAGAUUCAUAUGUACAGUACAGCAAGGUCUUAAUUUCAGGGUUGUAGGUUUGAGCCCUACACUGGGCAAACAGAUUCCUGCAUUGCAGGGAGUUGGACUAGUUGAGCGUCAUGGUCCCUUCCCACAGUUCUGCUAUUCUAAGUUAUUUCCAGGUUAAUUCUAUGCUUUGUACAACAGAGGCUGCCUUUUAUUCAUGUUGGAGGAAAUCCAGUAAUAUGGAGCAAUAGCCUUACUCCAAAUAAGGGAAAUUUGUAUUUUCCUAAACCAAUAAUCCUUUAUACCUACAAACAUAUUAAGAGAUUCAUGUUCAAGAUGAUUAGAUUAACUGUGGCAAUAUACUACCUUCCAACUCACUUUGGGGUAAAUUCACACAUGCUUAAUGUGGUGAGUGCAGCUUCAAGUGGGGAUUACC